CUCGGGGGCGCCGGCCAGGCUCUGAGGACUGUUGUGCAGGAGCCGCUGAAUUUGAGCAAGAAGCCGUAUUGAAGAAGAAAGAGAAUACAUUUUUGAAUUUCCUUGAAGGUUGGCAGAGGGGUUUAAUUUAAUUGCCUGGCAAUGAAGUGCAACUAUUAAUUUCAAGUGUGCUCUUGGGAACCUUGCCAAGCAGUCUGAUGGCUGUCGUCUGAUGAUGCCAUGUGAAGUCUUUAAUAAGCUGACAUUUCCUGCUGCUAAGCUGCCAUGCCUGAAAGCCAAACAAAAUAGUGUUUGGGCUCUUUAGAUCCCAAACUCUGUUUUUGUCUCUUUCUCUUCCUUCUCCUUACUCAGUUCUCAGCUCUGCCCACCUUGUUUCUCCAUCUAGCUUGUGUAUAUGUGCAAUACAAGGGUCAAAUGACAGUUACUGCCUCCCAACCAACUGAACUACUGAAAAACCCUUGAGAGCAGAGCUGCCUGGGUUGUGAUGCUGGCUUUGUUAUGAGACACAGAGGGAAUACUGGCUGGGAGUGUUUCCGGUGAAAAGGAGAAACUUUUCUGAGAAGGCAAAUGGGAGCUUGUCAUUUGGGUUAG